AUUGAACGCUGGCGGCAGGCCUAACACAUGCAAGUCGAACGGUAACAGGAAGAAGCUUGCUUCUUUGCUGACGAGUGGCGGACGGGUGAGUAAUGUCUGGGAAACUGCCUGAUGGAGGGGGAUAACUACUGGAAACGGUAGCUAAUACCGCAUAACGUCGCAAAACCAAAGAGGGGGACCUUCGGGCCUCUUGCCAUCGGAUGUGCCCAGAUGGGAUUAGCUAGUAGGUGGGGUACCGGCUCACCUAGGCGACGAUCCCUAGCUGGUCUGAGAGGAUGACCAGCCACACUGGAACUGAGACACGGUCCAGACUCCUACGGGAGGCAGCAGUGGGGAAUAUUGCACAAUGGGCGCAAGCCUGAUGCAGCCAUGCCGCGUGUAUGAAGAAGGCCUUCGGGUUGUAAAGUACUUUCAGCGGGGAGGAAGGGAGUAAAGUUAAUACCUUUGCUCAUUGACGUUACCCGCAGAAGAAGCACCGGCUAACUCCGUG
rnacentral:rRNA from 1 species